CAACUAUCCUCCACUCUUCCUCUACCAUCCUACUCCUCUCUCUCUUUCUUCAACCUCUCUACCAUCACGCAGGUGCCGCCCCUGAAAGCUUGCCAAGCCCGCAAAACACCGCCACUGCCGUUGCCGUUGCUGCUGUUGCCGCUGCUGCUGCUGCUGCUGAUGCUGCUGAUGCUGCCAUGUGGCAGCACCAACAGGAACGGGUGGCCGAAGACUCGCGAUCGUCACCGAAUUCCUACGAAGCAAACAACUACGAUGCAAGAGAGACCAUGUGGAAACCUCGAGGCGUCGCCGACGCGCCAUCAGUGCCGUAUCUUUCAUACUACUGAUGGUAGGGGAAUGUCCCUUGGUUAUGAUGGUAUGGUUACCUACACACCUAAAUAAGGAUUACGUCGAGU
rnacentral:lncRNA from 1 species